rnacentral:rRNA from 1 species
AUUGAACGCUGGCGGAAUGCUUUACACAUGCAAGUCGAACGGUAGAGGGGGCAACCCCUCGAGAGUGGCGAACGGGUGAGUAAUAUAUCGGAACGUGCCCAGUCGUGGGGGAUAACGUAGCGAAAGUUACGCUAAUACCGCAUACGAUCUAAGGAUGAAAGCGGGGGAUCGCAAGACCUCGCGCGAUUGGAGCGGCCGAUAUCAGAUUAGGUAGUUGGUGGGGUAGAGGCUCACCAAGCCAACGAUCUGUAGCUGGUCUGAGAGGACGACCAGCCACACGGGAACUGGGACACGGUCCAGACUCCUACGGGAGGCAGCAGUGGGGAAUUUUGGACAAUGGACGCAAGUCUGAUCCAGCCAUUCCGCGUGCAGGAUGAAGGCCCUCGGGUUGUAAACUGCUUUUGUACGGAACGAAAAGGUCUCUCUUAAUACGGGGGACUCAUGACGGUACCGUAAGAAUAAGCACCGGCUAACUACGUGCCAGCAGCCGCCGUAA